rnacentral:snRNA from 1 species
UUACUUAAAUGGCAAGGGAGAUACCAGAAUCAGUAAGGUUGUUCUCCUAGUGCGCGGCAUGUCCAUUGCACUCCAGGUUUGCUGCAAUUUCCCCAAAUGCGUGGAACUCGGCUGCAAAAUUUGUUGUGGUAUGGGACAGCAUUUGCACUUUCACCUG